rnacentral:rRNA from 1 species
CCUGACUGCUAUCGGAUUGGUACUAAGCCAUGUGAGUCAUUGUAGCAAUACAAGGCAUACGGCUCAGUAACACGUAGUCAAUCUGCCCUAUGGACGUGGAUAACCUCGGGAAACUGAGAAUAAUCCGCGAUAGAUCAUAAUGCCUGGAACGGUUUAUGGUCCAAAUGAUUCGUCGCCAUAGGAUGGGACUGCGGCCUAUCAGCUUGUUGGUGAGGUAAUGGCCCACCAAGGCUAUUACAGGUACGGGCUCUGAGAGGAGAAGCCCGGAGAUGGGUACUGAGACACGGACCCAGGCCCUAUGGGGCGCAGCAGGCGAGAAACCUUUGCAAUGUGCGCAAGCACGACAAGGUUAAUCCGAGUGUUUCCUGCUAAAGGUAUCUUUUGUUAGUUCUAAAACCACUGAUGAAUAAGGGGUGGGCAAGUUCUGGUGUCAGCCGCCGCGGUAAAACCAGCACCUCAAGUGGUCAGGAGGAUUAUUGGGCCUAAAGCAUCCGUAGCCGGUUCUGUAAGUUUCCGGUUAAAUCCACCAGCUCAACUAAUGGGCUGCCGGAAAUACUGCAGAACUAGGGAGUGGGAGAGGUAGACGGUACUCGGGAGGAAGGGGUAAAAUCCUUUGAUCUCUUGAUGACCACCUGUAGCGAAGGCGGUCUACCAGAACACGUUCGACGGUGAGGGAUGAAAGCUGGGGGAGCAAACCGGAUUAGAUACCCGGGUAGUCCCAGCUGUAAACGAUGCAGACUCGGUGAUGCACUGGCUUUUGGCCAGUGCAGUGCCGCAGGGAAGCCGUUAAGUUUGCCGCCUGGGAAGUACGUACGCAAGUAUGAAACUUAAAGGAAUUGGCGGGGGAGCACCACAAGGGGUGAAGCCUGCGGUUCAAUUGGAGUCAACGCC